AGCCUUGCUUGGGAGUUUUCUGUCCUCGCCGGAGGAGCGGCCGGAGCGGGAGGCCCGUGGGUGGGAGACAACGGCCCCGCCGAUGAGCCGGCAUCAAGCUUUUCGGCAGAGAUUUCAGGGAAACGGGAAGGAAGCAGGACGGUCGCGCAUUUCCCCUCCGCUGCCGCCUCCUUUUGCAUCCUCUGUGUUUCGGGAAGCGCCACGGCUUCAGCUCGCUCAGAGGGUUCAUUUUUAUUUUUUUACUUUAAUUUUUCCGUCAUUAACAGCAACUGUCUCCACCAGCCUUGGAUUUGCUGUUCACACGAGUCCCCGGGCCUCUCCACCGGCGAUGGACCCUCACCCUUGUCCCCGUCCCCAGCUCUGCUCUCUGCCACGUGCCCUCAUUAGGACAAAGGGGGGGAAAAAAAUCAGCUUUUUGGGGUUAUCACGCAUGAAGUCGCAGAGGAGGGGACUUUCCCAUUCGCUUCUUCCACCGAGAAAUGAAACCGCUCUCGCCUGCAGCCCCGGCUCUGAGCGGACGGUUCAGCAAAAGCUGAGGGAAUCCUUCGCUGUCCCACGGCUCCUGGUCAACAGGCUCGCCGCCUUCCUGAUUGAGCUGGUUCACUUCCUCGGUGAGACUGUGGUCCAGGUGCUGGUGGUCGGUUUGCUGACAGCUAUCAGCGAUCAUAUUUUGAAGCCCUUCUUGGCGGCGACAUUCAACAGCCUCCUGCAACCUCUGCUGCUGUUCCUGUUGAAGGUCCUCUGCAGCAUCCGGGACCUGACGGACCCCCUCAUCGACGUCCUGGCCGCCGUCUGCUCGCAGCUCGCCGUGGUGCUGCGGGCUGUCAGAUUAGUGGAGAUCAACCUACAGCCAGACAGAAGGACGGAUCUCGGCGAUGUUGGCAGCAGCUGAGGCUGGGCCUUGGGAGGCGAAGGAAGAAGGGGAGGAAGAAAAUGCUUAUUUCUGCAAAGAGCAAUGCAAAUUGAGGAAGAGAGGGACUGUCUGCAGCAUGGGGAGGCAGGCACCGAGAAGGGACAAGCUGGAAGCCACCAAGGCAAAGAAGAGCUCUCCAGGGUCAGAUGACCAAGGGUAGCAUGUGAUUGAAAGCCGGAGAUGAGCCGAAACCUUCCGGGCAGCAGGAAAUGUGCCGGUUUUCCAGGAGAGGGAGACCAGACCAACUUUGCCCUUGCUCCUCAGCUAAGAGCACCAGAGCCAGAGGUUAGAAGAGCCACACAGACAUGAGCAGGACCUGGCCUCGUGGACUGGGUCCAGGAUGUCCUGCAGCAACGUCACCGGUGCCAGGACUGUGCCUGGAUGGCCACACAGGGGGUCCGAGAGCCCCCACGGGACACCUGGGGGACACAUGGUUGUCCUCGGGGUAUUUUGAUCCACACAAGGCUCUUGCAUCGGGGCACAGGCAUGUCCUGGCGACUGUUCCCUGAUAACAGACCUUCCUGCAAGGGAACGAUUAAAAUGAACAAACACAAACCAUGAUUAAGAGGAUGGAAUUAAUUUGAGGUUUCUUGCUUUGUUGAUUUAGCUCAAGAUUCACUUUAAUGAUUUAAAUGGCUUUAAUUAAAUCAAUCUGCUCUGGGAACAAGAAUUCCC